AUCUUAUCAAGAGUGGUGGAGGGACUGGCCCUGUGAAACCCGACAACCGGCAUUAAAGAGAAAUUAUUGUGAAACUUAAAUUAUACAUUAUAAAAGGAUGGAAUUGGUAGAGAUUUUUAUGAUGUAUAAGUUAAUAGUUGAAUUAGUUUCACUAUUGUAUGCACGGUGUUAAUUCCUGCAAAGUAAUUUGGAAGAUAAGAA
rnacentral:ncRNA from 2 species